rnacentral:rRNA from 1 species
AUGGCCGGAGCACUCGUCCUCUUCCAUUCCGGCGGCCAAACCACCCGGAUCCCGCGUCAUCUUCCACUCCGGCGGCCAGAUCACCUCGAGCCUGCGCAACACCGGAUCUGCAGAGGACGCGGUCCUCGUCCAUGGAUCUGGCCGAGGGAAAUCAUUUUCUCCAUUGUUUCCGUCGCAGGAUCCGUGUUGGGAUGGCAAGGCCGAUUUCUGAUGUCUUCCGUCGCGGGAUUUCAUCAUCAUCGCCGAUUCCAGUUGGGCCGCGACGGCGAGGGCACACAGCUGUGCAGAGACGUCGGCUUUGAUGUUUGCUCAGAGGCCACCAGCGGUUGGACCAUAAGGGUUAGGAUAAACUGCCUUGUGAGCAACAUUUGA